ACGGCCAUAUCACGUUAAAUCAUCGGUUCCCGAACGAUCACCGAAAUUAAGCAUCGUAGAGCCUGAUCAUUACCCAGAUGGGUGACCGUUUAGGAAAACCCGAUGCUGUAAG